UGACCUCAAAUCAGGUAGGAUACCCGCUGAACUUAAGCAUAUCAAUAAGCGGAGGAAAAGAAACUAACAAGGAUUCCCCUAGUAACUGCGAGUGAAGCGGGAAAAGCUCAAAUUUGAAAUCUGGCAGUUUUUGACUGUCCGAGUUGUAAUCUAGAGAAGUGUUACCUGGCAGGACCAUGUACAAGUCUCCUGGAAUGGACCAUCAUAGAGGGUGAGAAUCC
rnacentral:rRNA from 1 species